UAACGAAUAUUGCACAAUGGGCGCAAGCCUGAUGCAGCGACGCCGCGUGUGGGAGUAAGCCCUUCGGGGUGUAAACCACUGUCAGGGACUACCAAGCAAUGGAGGUGAAUAAUCUCCUGCGUUGAGGCGUCCCAGAGGAAGUCACGGCUAACUUCGUGCCAGCAGCCGCGGUAAUACGAAGGUGGCAAGCGUUGUUCGGAAUCACUGGGCUUAAAGAGCACGUAGGCGGACUGUCAAGCGUCUUGUGAAAUCCCUCGGCUUAACCGAGGAAUUGCUGGGCGAACUGACAGUCUUGAGGCAAGUAGGGGCGCACGGAACUCUUGGUGGAGCGGUGGAAUGCGUAGAUAUCAAGAGGAACGCCAGAGGCGAAGGCGGUGCGCUGGGCUUGACCUGACGCUGAGGUGCGAAAGCCAGGGGAGCGAACG
rnacentral:rRNA from 1 species